UCGUCAACCGAGGCUUCACUCACUUCCUUGCGAAUGAAAUCCAUGAACGCCGCCUUCUUCUUUGCAUCGUCUCCCUCGAUUUUUUUCCAGGCCAAUUCACAGCUGAGUCCCGCUAAUGGAGGUACAUCCCAAAGGAAGAUUAGUUCAUAAGAUGGUAGGGUUACCCUAAUUUGAUCGAUUGACGGGGUAUCGAAAUCUUGGCCAGGCAGCACGGUGUUGAAAUCUCUGCAGUAAUUUUGGGAAGAUGAGAUGUAUAACAACCAACAGCGAACAGGAUUGCACAAGUGAUAAUAACAGUUUAGGCGACAAGGGUGUGCUUACUUGCAGAACUCAACAUAGGCAAGAUGAAAAUCAGUAAAGGUGUCGGUUUUCUUGUCCUUGAAAUACUGAUCGUACACUUGUCCGGUUGGAAUGCUGCUCCAACCUGGUAGGCCUGAGAAGAAGAACAUCACAAACUAACAAAUUCAGAACAUGGAAUUGUUAAAGCAUGAAGCAGCUAGAGUUGGCCUGGCAUUGGAGAGGCAGGAAUCAUUUGAGGGGAAAGUUACCAAAGCUUGGGUUUC